AUUAAAGUUGUUUGGCACUAUAGAAUAUAAAGCUGUUUGCAUACCUUCUUCUCCUUUCUUCCCCCAUUUUCUAGAGAGAGGGAGAGAGAGAGAAUGGAUCCACCGCAGAUUCAAUCUAUUGAAAAGUAUCCUCCCAUGGAAGACGACCAAGACAAAGCCAUUAACCAGUGUUGCUCUUGCUUCUACGACUGUACGGAUAGCUGCUUUGACUACUUAUUUUGUGACCUCUGCUAGAAGAAGACUGCAUCAAUGGGUUUUCCAACUAAUGCCUCUUUUCUUGCUUAAUCUUUGUUUCAUUUUCUGUCACAUUUCAUCUUCGCCUUUUUUGGGCUUAUCUAAUUCAACAAUCAUGUCUUAUGUCUCUAUGUUUAUGAUGGAUGCUAUCCUAAUGAAAUCAUUUUAGUAUGGUAAA